CAAAAAUCAACAUGUGUCAUCACAGACAUCAACUAAGGCAUCUCAUGGUUUGUUAAAUCAAGCCUCAGCAAAUCCCCCUUCUCAGGGUAGAAGGACUGAAAGACUACAAAACAAGUCUGUGUUUGGAGGUGUUACAGCAAAUGCAAAACUUUCCUCCAUUUCUGUUGACUGCCUGAAACCUGCAAGCAUCACCAAAAACAGUCCAAGAACUCCUACCAUAUCAACACCUUUUAGAUUCAGAAGUGAAGAAAGAGCAGUAAAACGC